rnacentral:rRNA from 1 species
GUCCAAGCCGUAAACGAUGAGUACUAGGUAGCGGAGGCCUCGUCGCCUUCGCUGCUGGAGCAAAUGUAUUAAGUACUCCGCCUGGGGGAGUACAGUCGCAAGGCCGAAAACUCAAAAGGAAUUGACGGGGGGCUCACACAAGCGGUGGAGCAUGUGGUUCAAUUCGAAGCAACGCGCAAAAACCUUACCUGGGUUUGACAUGCACGGAUUAGUUCUUGGAAACAGGAAUGACGGCCGAAAGGCUGGAACGUGCACAGGUGCUGCAUGGCUGUCGU